rnacentral:rRNA from 1 species
UGAGGGAUUUUGCACAAUGGAGGAAACUCUGAUGCAGCGACGCCGCGUGCGGGACGAAGCCUUUCGGGGUGUAAACCGCUGUCAGUGGGGAAGAGUAGGGACGGUACCCACUGAGGAAGCAUCGGCUAACUACGUGCCAGCAGCCGCGGUAAGACGUAGGGUGCGAGCGUUGUCCGGAAUCACUGGGCGUAAAGAGCUCGUAGGCGGGGUCUUGCGUCGUGGAGUAAAUUUCUCUGCUUAACGGAGAAAUCAUCUGCGAUACGGGGACUCUUGAGGACAGGAGAGGAAAGCGGAAUUCCGAGUGUAGCGGUGAAAUGCGUAGAGAUUCGGAGGAACACCAGUGGCGAAGGCGGCUUUCUGGCCUGAUUCUGACGCUGAGGAGCGAAAGCCAGGGUAGCGAACGGGAUUAGAUACCCCGGUAGUCCUGGUGCUGUAAACGAUGGAUACUAGGUGUAGGAGGUAUCAAACCCUUCUGUGCCGUCGCUAACGCAUUAAGUAUCCCGCCUGGGAAGUACGGCCGCAAGGUUG